GGUUGGAUCGUAUAGUGGUCAGUACAGUCGGUUCUGAUUUGGCGUUAUGCCGAACGGAUUCCGACUAACCUGGGUUCGAACCCCAGUCCGACCU